rnacentral:rRNA from 1 species
AUACGGAGGGUGCGAGCGUUACUCGGAGUCACUGGGCGUAAAGCGUCCGUAGGCGGUCGGGUAAGUCGGGUGUGAAAGCCCCGGGCUCAACCUGGGAAGUGCACCCGAUACUGCUCGACUCGAGUGCGGGAGAGGAUGGCGGAAUUCCCGGUGUAGCGGUGAAAUGCGUAGAGAUCGGGAGGAACACCAGUGGCGAAGGCGGCCAUCUGGCCCGCAACUGACGCUGAGGGACGAAAGCGUGGGGAGCAGACAGGAUUAGAAACCCCGGUAGUCC